AUGUUCCCAUCGUACACUGCGGUCCCGAGUGUGCCGUCCACACCCGCCUGACGAUCGCUCGCUACGCUCUGUCAGGC
rnacentral:sRNA from 1 species